GACAGAGGGUGCAAACGUUGUUCGGAAUUACUGGGCGUAAAGCGCGUGUAGGUGGCGAGGCAAGUCGGGUGUGAAAGCCCUGGGCUCAACCCAGGAAGUGCACUCGAUACUGCCUAGCUAGAGUCCCGGAGAGGUUGGUGGAACUCUCGGUGUAGAGGUGAAAUUCGUAGAUAUCGAGAAGAACACCGGUGGCGAAGGCGGCUCACUGGCUCGUAUCUGACACUCAAGCGCGACAGCGUGGGGAUCAAACAGGG
rnacentral:rRNA from 1 species